UCGCCUGUUUAUCAAAAACAUAGCCUUUAGCCAUAAAAGUAUUAAAGGUACAACCUGCCCAGUGAAAUAUUUAAACGGCCGCGGUAUCCUAACCGUGCAAAGGUAGCGUAAUCACUUGUCCUCUAAAUAGGGACUAGUAUGAAUGGUUAAAUGAGGAUAAACCUGUCUCUUGUGGAAAAUCAGUGAAACUGAACUCCCAGUACAAAUGCUGGGAUUUACACACAAGACGAGAAGACCCUGCGGAGCUUUUAAACUACCCUCAAACAAUAAAUUGAGAACGAGUUUUUAGUUGGGGCGACUUCGGAACAAAACUAAGCUUCCGAGCACAAAGAGACCACCUCUUGCAGCGGCUAACAAGCCAAAGCACCACAAACCAUUGACCCGGAUUUAUCCGAUUAACGAACCAAGUUACCCCAGGGAUAACAGCGCUAUCUUCUUUAAGAGUCCAUAUCAACAAGUAAGGCUUACGACCUCGAUGUUGGAUCAGGACACCCAAAUGGUGCAGCCGCUAUUAAUGGUUCGUUUGUUCAACGAUUAACAGUCCUACGUGAUCUGAGUUCAGACCGGA
rnacentral:rRNA from 1 species